CGUGUCCGAACACUUUACGAUCUUUCACGUAGUCCGGAUCUAUCAGCACCACGCCAUCUGAAACGGGAUUCGAAAGGGAAAAUCAUUCAUCAUUAAUCACAUGGUUAAGCCCAGGUACAAACUUCUUCAAAAUCAUGGGGAUUGGUGGUGAUAUGAAAUGGAAUUUUUUAGCAAAGGAAGAUCAUCC